GACGAACGCUGGCGGCGUGCUUAACACAUGCAAGUCGAACGGAAAGGCCCUGCUUGCAGGGUACUCGAGUGGCGAACGGGUGAGUAACACGUGGGUGAUCUGCCCUGCACUUCGGGAUAAGCCUGGGAAACUGGGUCUAAUACCGGAUAGGAGCCAUUUUUAGUGUGAUGGUUGGAAAGUUUUUUCGGUGUAGGAUGAGCUCGCGGCCUAUCAGCUUGUUGGUGGGGUAAUGGCCUACCAAGGCGGCGACGGGUAGCCGGCCUGAGAGGGUGGACGGCCACAUUGGGACUGAGAUACGGCCCAGACUCAUACGGGAGGCAGCAGUGGGGAAUAUUGCACAAUGGGCGCAAGCCUGAUGCAGCGACGCCGCGUGGGGGAUGACGGCCUUCGGGUUGUAAACUCCUUUCGCUAGGGACGAAGCUUUUUGUGACGGUACCUAGAUAAGAAGCACCGGCUAACUACGUG
rnacentral:rRNA from 1 species